GCUAUGUGAUGAUAUCCCGAUGACUGAAUACUCUGUAGUUGGUCCUUGGGGUGUGCGUGAUGUACUGCACUGUUUCAAGACGGGACUGAUGGCAAC